rnacentral:rRNA from 1 species
CUACGGGGUGCAGCAGUGAGGAAUAUUGCACAAUGGGGGGAACCCUGAUGCAGCAACGCCGCGUGGAGGAUGACGCAUUUCGGUGUGUAAACUCCUUUUAUAUGUCAAGAAAAUGGCGGUAGCAUAUGAAUAAGCACCGGCUAACUCCGUGCCAGCAGCCGCGGUAAUACGGAGGGUGCAAGCGUUACUCGGAAUCGCUGGGCGUAAAGGACGCGUAGGCGGGUUGGAAAGUCAGGUGUGAAAUCCUACAGCUUAACUGUAGAACUGCACUUGAAACUUCUAAUCUAGAGUAUGGGAGGGGGAGAUGGAAUUAGUGGUGUGGGGGUAAAAUCCGUAGAUAUCACUAGGAAUACCUAAAGCGAAGGCGAUCUCCUGGAACAUUACUGACGCUAAGGCGUGAAAGCGUGGGGAGCAAACAGGAUUAGAUACCCGCGUAGUC